rnacentral:misc_RNA from 1 species
GAUGAAGAACGUAGCGAAAUGCGAUAAGUAGUGUGAAUUGCAGAAUUCAGUGAAUCAUCGAAUCUUUGAACGCACAUUGCGCCCCUCGGUAUUCCGUGGGGCAUGCCUGUUCGAGCGUCAUUUACCCCCUCAAGCCUAGCUUGGUAUUGGGUGCUUGUCCCGCCUCUCGCGCGGCGACUCACCUCAAAGUCAUUGGCAGCCCGCAUCUCGCCGGCCGUGAGCGCAGCACAGACGCGCUCUUGGCAACGACGGAUCGGCUCUCCAAAAGCUUAUUUCAACCACUGACCUCGGAUCAGGUAGGGAUACCCGCUGAACUUAAGCAUAUCAAUAAGCGGAGGA